GGGGAUUUAGCUCAGUGGUAGAGCGCUUCCCUAGGAAGCGCAAGGCCCUGGGUUCAGUCCCCA
rfam:Rattus norvegicus chromosome 1, whole genome shotgun sequence.